rnacentral:tRNA from 1 species
AAAAAGAUAAGCUAAUUAAGCUAAUAGGUUCAUACCCUACAUAUAGAAGCAAAAAUCUUCUUCUUUUUA